UCUGCACGUCGCAGCGGAGGGAUAUUU
rnacentral:rRNA from 1 species